AUAGAUCUCCAUGUCAGAGAGAGAGAAUAAACGUUUAUUUGGAGCAAGCGCGCUGUUCUCCAUAGGCCAUUAUGAGAGGGAGUGCCGUGUACGUUGGUGGCAUUCUGCUUGGUUCACUUUUUUGCAUAUACGGAGGAACGCAAACACAUUAUGGCCGUAGCUGCAACACUUCUGCUCAGCAAGGGGGAACACUCUGCUGCUUUCAGAAUGUCACUGCAUGUUAUUGCACACUUGCUCUACAAGGAAAAUCAUGCAACGACAUUUUUCAAAACAAAUGUACGUUUCCUCGAAUGCUUAC